rnacentral:rRNA from 1 species
GACGAACGCUGGCGGCGGGCUUAACACAUGCAAGUCGAACGGAAAGGCCCUGCUUCUGUGGGGUGCUCGAGUGGCGAACGGGUGAGUAACACGUGAGUAACCUGCCCUUGACUUUGGGAUAACUUCAGGAAACUGGGGCUAAUACCGGAUAGUAGCUCCUGCUGCAUGGUGGGGGUUGGAAAGUUUCGGCGGUUGGGGAUGGACUCGCGGCUGAUCAGCUUGUUGGUGGGGUAGUGGCUUACCCAGGCUUUGACGGGUAGCCGGCCUGAGAGGGUGACCAGCCACAUUGGGACUGAGAUACGGCGCAGACUCCUACGGGAGGCAGCAGUGGGGAAUAUUGCACAAUGGGCGGAAGCCUGAUGCAGCAACGCCGCGUGCGUGAUGACGGCCUUCGGGUUGUAAACCGCUUUCGCCUGUGGCGAAGCGUGAGUGACGGUAAUGGGUAAAGAAGCACCGGCUAACUACGUG